rnacentral:tRNA from 1 species
GGACGCGUAGCUCAAUUGGAUAGAGUACUUGAUUACGGCUCAAGAGGUUGAGGGUUCGACUCCUUCCGCGUUCACCA